AUUCCAUACAGCUUAGCUACAUUGCAUAUCAUCAAGAUUGUAAAAGACAUGCAGCAAAUGAAAAACAGACACAUGAAGAUAAUUAGAAAACUAGAUGAUAUAAGGAAAGAAAAUCAGAAAGGAGGAGACUAUAACUACUAUAAGGAAACAUUACAGUGAAAAAAUGAGGUGUCUGAAAUCCCAGUUAGAAGCUUAUCAAGAGCUGAUGAACAAGAACAA
rnacentral:lncRNA from 1 species